rnacentral:lncRNA from 1 species
CACCGAGGAUUCUAAGCCCGAUUGGCGGCAAUCGCCGGAAAAUUCUCACGGAAGACCAUCCCUGUGCCGUCCAAUUUCUCGCCGGAAAAGCUUCACCGGCGACGGAGGUAAGCCUCCUCCCUUUCCUCUCUUCUCCCCCUUCCUUCCCGUGCCGAUGUGCACGCUCGCCGGCGACCAGAGUCGCUGGAUUUUGUUGCGGAAGCAACCUUCAUUUUUUUUGCCGUUUCUCUUUGAUUCCGACGCCGGUGGUCACCGCCGACCACCGGGUUUGGCCCCUCUUGCCACCAGAUCGCCCCC